rnacentral:rRNA from 1 species
UAGGGAAUCUUCCACAAUGGACGCAAGUCUGAUGGAGCAACGCCGCGUGAGUGAAGAAGGUUUUCGGACCGUAAAGCUCUGUUGUUGGUGAAGAAGGAUAGAGGUAGUAACUGGCCUUUAUUUGACGGUAAUCAACCAGAAAGUCACGGCUAACUACGUGCCAGCAGCCGCGGUAAAUCGUAGGUGGCAAGCGUUGUCCGGAUUUAUUGGGCGUAAAGCGAGCGCAGGCGGAAGAAUAAGUCUGAUGUGAAAGCCCUCGGCUUAACCGAGGAAUUGCAUCGGAAACUGUUUUCUUGAGUGCAGAAGAGGAGAGUAGAACUCCAUGUGUAGCGGUGGAAUGCGUAGAUAUAUGGAAGAAUACCAGUGGCGAAGGCGGCUCUCUGGUCUGCAACUGACGCUGAGGCUCGAAAGCAUGGGUAGCGAACAGGAUUAGAUACCCUGGUAGUCCAUGCCGUAAACGAUGAGUGCUAAGUGUUGGGAGGCUUCCGCCUCUCAGUGCUGCAGCUAACGCAUUAAGCACUCCGCCUGGGGGAGUACGA